GCUGCCGAGAACAUGGCGU
rnacentral:siRNA from 1 species